CCAUCGCCGGAGGAAGACUGAAAGCCAUAGAGCCCCAGCCCACCAGUGCCGAGGCGCCCCCUCCCCUAGGCCACCUCGCGUCCACCCCCUGCCGCGAGCCAAGGCCAGCGCCCCGCCCGGAGAUGGGCAGACGCGUAGAUGGCGUGGCUCCCAGCGCCGCCAGAUCGCAGGAGCCCGGCGCCGGGGCGUUGCGCUGAAGCUCCCGCUCCGCUCGGCCCGGGAAGCCUGCAGGUGUCCUUGGCCGCUCGGCCGCCGCCCGAGAGACUCUUUCGCCAGAGCCCACAGCCCGGCUCCGCGGAGCGGCCCCGCCCCCCCGGCUCGGCGCCGCGCAGGACGCCCCGUCUGAGGCCCCCCCGCCCCAGCGCGGCCCCCGCAGCGCUGCGCCAGGCCCAGCGCAGCUCCCGGCCGCGGACGCAGGACCCGAGGCUCGCUCCUGCAGGCGCGCUUGUUUUCCAGCUGCCGCCCGGCCCUGCGCAGCCCCCGCCCGCCUGUCCGCCGCGUUAAGCUCGGCCCCACCCGCCAUCCUUGUCCUGCGCUGGAUUUAUGAAUGGGGGGAAGAGGCCACAUGCCGCCGCCGCUGACUCGUGUUGACUGCACGCAGCCCGGGCCCGCGGAGCUCCGGCUGCCGUGAGAGCGUCUGCCCGGUCCCGGCAGCCGCUUGGUGGACUUGUUGCUGCUGCGCUGCCGCCGCGGGAAAACCGGUUGCUCCCGGGGCUCGGCGCGGUCUGGGAGCCAGCGGGUGGCCCGUGUGAGUGUGAGCGCGCGUCCCGGACCCUCGCAGCGCGCCCGGACUGUGCGCUUCCUUGUCUUUUAGGGGGUGGGGGGCGUGUCCCAUCUUAGCUGGGGACCGUGCUGUGAUUGCCCCUACCUCCCGGCCUCUCGCUUGGGUCCUCGGCUCUCCUCUCCCGCCUCCUGCCUCCUCUCCGGCGCUGUCUGCCCUAACCCCAACCACCUGUGCACCCAAGAAAUCCAACUCCUCCGGCUCCGCGCCCGGGGGGGGGGUAGGCAGGGGGCAGGGCCACGCCGCAGAGGGGGCCGCCGCCGCCUCCAGCCUCCUCCUCGUCUCCUCCCCCUCCCCCGUCUGACGCUGCCUCCUCGGGAAGGGUGUUUGGAGGGCAGCGGCCGCCCCAAGCCGGAGCCCCGCAGCGCUUCUUAUGAUCAGCUCGGUGUGUGUCUCCUCCUACCGCGGGCGCAAGUCGGGGAACAAGCCUCCGUCCAAAACAUGUCUGAAGGAAGAAAUGGCCAAGGGCGAGGCGUCGGAGAAGAUCAUCAUCAACGUGGGCGGCACGCGACAUGAGACCUACCGCAGCACCCUGCGCACCCUACCGGGCACCCGCCUCGCCUGGCUGGCCGACCCCGACGGCGGGGGCCGGCCCGAGACCGAUGGCGGCGGUGCGGGCAGCAGCGGUAGCAGCGGCGGCGGGGGCUGCGAGUUCUUCUUCGACAGACACCCGGGUGUGUUCGCCUACGUGCUCAACUACUACCGCACCGGCAAGCUGCACUGCCCCGCCGACGUGUGCGGGCCGCUCUUCGAGGAGGAGCUCACCUUCUGGGGCAUCGACGAGACCGACGUGGAGCCCUGCUGCUGGAUGACCUACCGGCAGCACCGGGACGCGGAAGAGGCACUUGACAUCUUCGAGAGCCCGGACGGAGGCGGCGGCGGCCCAGGGCCCAGCGAUGAGGCUGGCGACGAUGAGAGGGAGCUGGCCCUGCAGCGCCUGGGCCCCCACGAGGGAGGUGCGGGCUCAGGCGCCGGGUCCGGCGGCUGCCGCGGCUGGCAACCCCGCAUGUGGGCGCUCUUCGAGGAUCCCUACUCCUCUCGGGCAGCCAGGGUGGUGGCCUUCGCCUCUCUCUUCUUCAUCCUGGUCUCCAUCACCACCUUCUGCCUGGAGACCCACGAGGCCUUCAACAUCGACCGCAACGUGACGGAGAUCCACCGAGUGGGGAACGUCACCAGCGUGCGCUUCCGGCGGGAGGUGGAGACAGAGCCCAUCCUGACCUACAUCGAGGGCGUGUGCGUUCUGUGGUUCACGCUGGAGUUCCUGGUGCGCAUCGUGUGCUGCCCCGACACGCUGGACUUCAUCAAGAACCUGCUCAACAUCAUCGACUUUGUGGCCAUCCUGCCCUUCUACCUGGAGGUGGGACUGAGCGGCCUGUCGUCCAAGGCAGCCCGCGACGUGCUGGGCUUCCUGCGCGUGGUGCGCUUUGUGCGCAUCCUGCGCAUCUUCAAGCUCACGCGCCACUUCGUGGGGCUGCGCGUGCUGGGCCACACGCUGCGGGCCAGCACCAACGAGUUCCUGCUGCUCAUCAUCUUCCUGGCCCUGGGCGUGCUCAUCUUCGCCACCAUGAUCUACUACGCUGAGCGCAUUGGGGCCAGGCCCUCCGACCCCCGGGGCAAUGACCACACCGACUUCAAGAACAUCCCCAUUGGCUUCUGGUGGGCCGUGGUCACCAUGACGACGCUGGGCUAUGGGGACAUGUACCCCAAGACGUGGUCAGGCAUGCUGGUGGGGGCACUGUGUGCGCUGGCAGGCGUGCUCACCAUCGCCAUGCCGGUGCCCGUCAUUGUCAACAACUUCGGCAUGUACUACUCCCUGGCCAUGGCCAAGCAGAAGCUGCCCAAGAAACGGAAGAAGCACGUGCCACGGCCAGCCCAGCUUGAGUCACCUAUGUACUGCAAGUCUGAGGAGACCUCGCCCCGGGACAGCACCUACAGUGACACCAGCCCCCCUGCCCGGGAAGAGGGUGUGGUCGAGAGGAAACGGGCAGACUCUAAGCAGAAUGGCGACGCCAAUGCUGUGCUGUCCGACGAGGAGGGAGGGGGCCUAACCCAGCCCCUGGCCUCUGCCCCCACCCCCGAGGAGCGCCGGGCCCUGCGACGCUCUGCCACUCGAGACAGAAACAAGAAGGCGGCUGCCUGCUUCCUGCUCAGCGCCGGGGACUAUGCGUGUGCUGAUGGUAGUGUCCGGAAAGGCACAUUCGUCCUCCGUGACCUUCCCCUUCAGCAUUCACCUGAGGCUGCAUGCCCUCCAGCUGCUGGGACUCUGUUCCUGCCACAGUGAGGAAGGGGGCUGGGCACGACAUGGCACCAUGCUCAGGAGCCUUCUUCACCAGCUCCUUGGGACAAUGGAAUAUCCCAGGGUGGUAAUGGCAGAUGGAGCUAUUGGGGGAGAGCUCCAGUUGGACAGGCACCAGCUGGGGUGAUGGCUGAUGAGCCACAGGCCACAUCAGGAACUUUCCCCACUGCCUCCAUGCCAGGCUACAGGGCUGUGGUUCCUCUCUCCACUACACUGGAGCUUUGAAGACCUGAGAGGCUAGUGGCUCCUGGAGCUAGAGGUUACCCGAACAGAGACCUGCCAAGACGCCCUCUCGUCCAACUAUGCCCAGGCUGAAGUCCUCACCCUCUCUUAAAGCGGCACCAACGUGAGAGAGACAGGCAGACAGACAGAAAGCCAGAGGCUUAGGGAAACUCUGGAACCCAGGCAAGAAUCUUUCGCUGGGAAAGACUCAGAUAUCCUUGUUUGCACAGGACUGGUGGAAAACCUCCCAUGCAACUCUCGGGGCCUGGAGCCAUCUGGGUCUGAUGUUCUACUGUACAUUGAAGAGAUAUAUAUGCACAUAUAGUAUCUAUAUUCAUACUAUACUCUUGUGUGUAGUGCACGUGCUAUUGGUGGUUUGUCCUUGUUAGGCUGUGUCUCUCCAAUCCCUUGCCCUACCCUGAGUUUCCCACCCCCUUCCCCUUCUCUGAUUCCUUGUUGUUUCUCCUGACCAUGUGUGUGGAACGUCCCAGGAAAAGUUCUCCUGGGAAUUGCCAGUCCAGUGGGUGGCCCCAGGCUACUCUCUCUUGGGGGUGCUUGCCCUGUCAGCAGGUGGCCUGUUGAAGGCCAGAUUGCCCUCCAGGGUCACUGCUCCACUAGCUGCACCCCAGUUGUGGGGGGACUUCCAGGGACUCCUCUGCAGACUCCUCCACGCCUUUCUUCACCCCUAUCUGUGUCCUUGACUGAGGGGGGCAUUUUGUCUUUUUUUAUUUUUUAUUUUUCUGUCUCCUUUGUCUGUUUGUUUUCAAAGAUGCUGCUGGGCAGACGGGCAGGGAAGGGGUCUGUCUGCCCAUCUGGCUCAGGGGUCUGAGAAGGGGAAGCCUCGGGCGAGAGGAGACCAGUUGCAAUACUGUACUUCCUGGCCGGUGGCCAGAGGAUGCGUGCAAUAGCAGAGGCCAGGCGACCCCUUCAGCCUUGGCCUCUGCCCCUCCCUCCCCACCCCAUUCCCCCCUGUCCCUCCCUGGUGUUGGUCAGUCCUUUUCUAAAGCUGUCUCCUCGUGUGUGUUCGAGGCAUGCCUAGGCCGGGCCUUGGCCCUGUCUGCAUGCCUUCCGCUGUCAUGCUGUGCUCGAGCCCCAAUAAAGACAUCUGGAGCGCCCGCUGCUCCUGCUGUGUGAG